GACGAACGCUGGCGGCGUGCCUAAUACAUGCAAGUUGAGCGCUGAAGGUUGGUACUUGUACCAACUGGAUGAGCAGCGAACGGGUGAGUAACGCGUGGGGAAUCUGCCUUUGAGCGGGGGACAACAUUUGGAAACGAAUGCUAAUACCGCAUAAAAACUUUAAACACAAGUUUUAAGUUUGAAAGAUGCAAUUGCAUCACUCAAAGAUGAUCCCGCGUUGUAUUAGCUAGUUGGUGAGGUAAAGGCUCACCAAGGCGAUGAUACAUAGCCGACCUGAGAGGGUGAUGGGCCGCAUUGGGACUGAGACACGGCCCAAACUCCUACGGGAGGCAGCAGUAGGGAAUUUUCGGAAAUGGACGGAAGUCUGACCGAGCAACGCCGCGUGAGUGAAGAAGGUUUUCGGAUCGUAAAACUCUGUUGGUAGAGAAGAACGUUGGUGAGAGUGGAAAGCUCAUCAAGUGACGGUAACUACUCAGAAAGGGACGGCUAACUACGUG
rnacentral:rRNA from 1 species